rnacentral:rRNA from 1 species
UGGGGAAUUUUGGACAAUGGGCGCAAGCCUGAUCCAGCAAUGCCGCGUGCAGGAAGAAGGCCUUCGGGUUGUAAACUGCUUUUGUACGGAACGAAACGGUCUGGGCUAAUACCCUGGGCUAAUGACGGUACCGUAAGAAUAAGCACCGGCUAACUACGUGC